ACCCCGGCGAGGGGAGUGAAAAAGAACCUGAAACCGUGUACGUACAAGCAGUGGGAGCACGCUUAGGCGUGUGACUGCGUACCUUUUGUAUAAUGGGUCAGCGACUUAUAUUCUGUAGCAAGGUUAACCGAAUAGGGGAGCCGAAGGGAAACCGAGUCUUAACUGGGCGUUAAGUUGCAGGGUAUAGACCCGAAACCCGGUGAUCUAGCCAUGGGCAGGUUGAAGGUUGGGUAACACUAACUGGAGGACCGAACCGACUAAUGUUGAAAAAUUAGCGGAUGACUUGUGGCUGGGGGUGAAAGGCCAAUCAAACCGGGAGAUAGCUGGUUCUCCCCGAAAGCUAUUUAGGUAGCGCCUCGUGAAUUCAUCUCCGGGGGUAGAGCACUGUUUCGGCAAGGGGGUCAUCCCGACUUACCAACCCGAUGCAAACUGCGAAUACCGGAGAAUGUUAUCACGGGAGACACACGGCGGGUGCUAACGUCCGUCGUGAAGAGGGAAACAACCCAGACCGCCAGCUAAGGUCCCAAAGUCAUGGUUAAGUGGGAAACGAUGUGGGAAGGCCCAGACAGCCAGGAUGUUGGCUUAGAAGCAGCCAUCAUUUAAAGAAAGCGUAAUAGCUCACUGGUCGAGUCGGCCUGCGCGGAAGAUGUAACGGGGCUAAACCAUGCACCGAAGCUGCGGCAGCGACGCUGAUGCGUUGUUGGGUAGGGGAGCGUUCUGUAAGCCUGUGAAGGU
rnacentral:rRNA from 1 species